GCUCGCGGUCCCACUCCCAAAUGCUUCCCCCGGAGGCCCGGCAGCCAGGCCCCGACACACAAGGUUCCAGGCCGCGAAGACUGACCGGCGGGAAGGGCCCUACCGCACUCCCCGGGGCCUCCUUAUCUCUUUACUUUCAAAUACACCUUUUUUUUUUUUUUUCCACAUACAUUGUAAAAGCAGUGGCGCGUGCCGCAGAGUCUCCUCACUGCUCCUCCCAACGCCAAGAUGGAUGUUUGCAAUUGGAAAGUGUCACUUGGAACACACCAGAACCGGAUCUUCAGCAUCAGAGUUAAGUGGUGAUCUCUGGAGAAAAGAUGAAACUUUCAACACCAAGAAUAAUCUCAGCUGGGCAGCUGCUGACUGGCCUGAAGCCAACUCCACCUUCUAGACCUCACAAUUACAUCACAGUUAAGUCUGCAUUUGCUCAAGGUAAUUUGAAUUGCUUUCUGUCAUUUACAGCUGGAAGUGUCUUGGUUGACACUCCUCCUUUCCUGACUUACCUUCCACAUACUCCCUCCUUCCCGGUCUACACUUCAGACACAAUUUUUUUUUUUAAACAACUCCUGGACAUACUUCAUU